UACGGGGGGAGCAAACGUUGUUCGGAAUCACUGGGCGUAAAGGGCGCGUAGGCGGCCUGUUAAGUCGAACGUGAAAUCCCCGGGCUCAACCCGGGAACUGCGUCCGAUACUGGCAGGCUUGAAUCCGGGAGAGGGAUGCGGAAUUCCAGGUGUAGCGGUGAAAUGCGUAGAUAUCUGGAGGAACACCGGUGGCGAAGGCGGCAUCCUGGACCGGCAUUGACGCUGAGGCGCGAAAGCCAGGGGAGCAAACGGG
rnacentral:rRNA from 1 species